AUUUCUAUAGCUUAUAGUACAGAGUAUUUCAGUGAAGUUGAAAGGGAAAUUUAAAUUUAGAAAUA
rnacentral:tRNA from 1 species